AAGGAUUCGCAAGGGAACCUGCGGAAGGAUCAU
rnacentral:rRNA from 1 species